rnacentral:rRNA from 1 species
GACGAACGCUGGCGGCGUGCUUAACACAUGCAAGUCGAACGCUGAAGCUUGGUGCUUGCACUGGGUGGAUGAGUGGCGAACGGGUGAGUAAUACGUGAGUAACCUGCCCUUGACUCUGGGAUAAGCCUGGGAAACUGGGUCCAAUACUGGAUACGACAUGUCACCGCAUGGUGGUGUGUGGAAAGGGUUUUACUGGUUUUGGAUGGGCUCACGGCCUAUCAGCUUGUUGGUGGGGUAAUGGCUCACCAAGGCGACGACGGGUAGCCGGCCUGAGAGGGUGACCGGCCACACUGGGACUGAGACACGGCCCAGACUCCUACGGGAGGCAGCAGUGGGGAAUAUUGCACAAUGGGCGGAAGCCUGAUGCAGCGACGCCGCGUGAGGGAUGACGGCCUUCGGGUCGUAAACCUCUUUCAGCACGGAAGAAGCGAAAGUGACGGUACGUGCAGAAGAAGCGCCGGCUAACUACGUG